rnacentral:rRNA from 1 species
CAGUCGCCGCGGUAAUACGAAGGGGGCUAGCGUUGUUCUGAAUUACUGGGCGUAAAGCGCGUGUAGGCGGGUCUUUAAGUCAGAGGUGAAAUGCCAAGGCUCAACCUUGGAACUGCCUUUGAUACUGGAGAUCUUGAGUCCGGGAGAGGUGAGUGGAAUUGCGAGUGUAGAGGUGAAAUUCGUAGAUAUUCGCAAGAACACCAGUGGCGAAGGCGGCUCACUGGCCCGGAACUGACGCUGAGACGCGAAAGCGUGGGGAGCAAACAGGAUUAGAUACCCCGGUAGUCCCUGUCUCUUAUAC